GCCUGCAUGAAGUCGGAAUUGCUAGUAAUCGCAGAUCAGCAUGCUGUGGUGAAUACGUUCCCGGGCCUUGUACACACCGCCCGUCACACCAUGGGAGUCGGUAACACCCAAAGUUGGUAGUCCAACCGCAAGGAGGACGCCGCCUAAGGUGGGAUUGAUGACUGGGGUGAAGUCGUAACAAGGUACC
rnacentral:rRNA from 1 species